GUUGGCUGGACCGGGCUGGACCUAGCGGCGGGAGCGAGGGAGCCGAACUCUCUGACCUCCCGCGGCCCGGUCGCUUUUAUCCGCUAGGCUCCGGUGGCGGAUCGGCUUACACAGAGCCUGGCCUGAGAGAUCUUUGCAAACCAGAACACUGCCGGUGACCUCCCUCGUGACCCUGGAUAAGUCACUGCCCCUCCCUGAGCAUGGUUUCUACACCAGAGAAGAAACCCCAGCGUUCCAUGGCAAGAGGGAGCUGGGAGGACAUUCAAAGACGGCUUGGCGGAUCCACCCCUCAGCCUCCCCAUCCCCUCCCUGAAGUAUUCCCAGCAGCUCCAGCCCUGCCCACCUGUCUCCCCCCACCUCUGCAUCUCCAGGCCGGCACCACAAGCGCACUCCGUGCCAGGCCGCACACAUAAGCACCCUCUGGACGGCUUCCUGAGGAGCCGUCCACACUGAGAGGCUGCCGAGCGCAUUCCGGCCUGCACGAGUGCACAGCACAGCGGCCCAUCUGAACGGAGUCUUCCACCGCAGCCCAUGGCUCUGCCGGCUUCACAGACCUUCCUUAGGACGUUUGGGGCAGAAUCUUAAGACAAGAUAAUCCCCGAAGCCUUUUCUAGUCGGCCCUUCCCUGCGCAGCACACCAAGCACACCCACCAAGCACACGCUCAGUGGCCCCCUCCCUCCCGGCCUGGCUUCCCACUGAGCCUCUGGAGAGCUAGGAACCAGCAAGUGGUUUGGCUGCACUAAACCCGCGGAGGGUGGGGGAUGCUGUGGUGCUGCAGCUCCCCCCCUCUGCCCCGCAGGAGGAAUGAGCUGCUCUUCUCCACGGAGGCGGAGGCGGAGGCGGUGGAGACGUUCUUUUGGCUCCUGGUUGCACUUUCAGAGCCAUUGCGCGCCUUCCAUCCCCUGGAAACACAGCCUCUGAUUCCUAAAGAAGAAAAAAAGGCAUGAUCGGUUUUCAUUAGCUUGGAAUGCAAAUGUUUGCGAUCGUAACAAUAAAAAAGAAAAACAUUUAUCAUGUCUGCACGGAAUGUAAUACUUUUAAAUCAAAUACUGAAAGGCAAGAAAGCAACAUAAAU